AACCCGGCCUUCGCGGCCCCGGACGAGACGCGCCGUACCCGGUGAGGACAAGACGACGCCAA
rnacentral:ncRNA from 1 species